UCAGGGAAGAAGAUCUGACGGUACCUGAUGAAUCAGCAUCGGCUAACUCCGUGCCAGCAGCCGCGGUAAUACGGAGGAUGCAAGCGUUAUCCGGAUUUAUUGGGCGUAAAGCGUCCGCAGGUGGUUUACCAAGUCUGCUGUUAAAGCGCGAGGCUUAACCUCGUACAGGCAGUGGAAACUGGGAGACUAGAGUAUGGUAGGGGUAGCGGGAAUUCCCAGUGUAGCGGUGAAAUGCGUAGAUAUUGG
rnacentral:rRNA from 1 species